GACGAACGCUGGCGGCGUGCUUAACACAUGCAAGUCGAACGGUGAAGCGCCUUCCUUUUUGGUGGGUGUGGAUGAGUGGCGAACGGGUGAGUAACACGUGAGUAACCUGCCCCCUUCUUCUGGAUAACCGCAUGAAAGUGUGGCUAAUACGGGAUAUUCUGGGUCUGUCGCAUGAUGGGUCUGGGAAAGAUAUUGUUUCGGUGGGGGAUGGGCUCGCGGCCUAUCAGCUUGUUGGUGGGGUGAUGGCCUACCAAGGCGGUGACGGGUAGCCGGCCUGAGAGGGUGGACGGUCACACUGGGACUGAGACACGGCCCAGACUCCUACGGGAGGCAGCAGUGGGGAAUAUUGCUCAAUGGGCGCAAGCCUGAUGCAGCGACGCCGCGCGAGGGAUGGAGGCCUUCGGGUUGUGAACCUCUUUCGCCAGUGAAGCAGGCCUGCCUCGUUUGUGGGUGGGUUGACGGUAGCUGGAUAAGAAGCGCCGGCUAACUACGUG
rnacentral:rRNA from 1 species